rnacentral:rRNA from 1 species
GACGAACGCUGGCGGCGUGCUUAACACAUGCAAGUCGAACGGGUGUAGCAAUACAUCAGUGGCAGACGGGUGAGUAACACGUGGGAACCUUCCUCGUUGUACGGGACAACUCAGGGAAACUUGAGCUAAUACCGUAUACGUCCGAGAGGAGAAAGAUUUAUCGCAAUGAGACGGGCCCGCGUCGGAUUAGCUAGUUGGUGGGGUAACGGCCUACCAAGGCGACGAUCCGUAGCUGAUCUGAGAGGAUGAUCAGCCACACUGGGACUGAGACACGGCCCAGACUCCUACGGGAGGCAGCAGUGGGGAAUCUUGGACAAUGGGCGCAAGCCUGAUCCAGCCAUGCCGCGUGAGUGAAGAAGGCCUUAGGGUUGUAAAGCUCUUUUGCCAGGGACGAUAAUGACGGUACCUGGAGAAUAAGCCCCGGCAAACUUCGUGCCAGCCGCCGCCGUAA